rnacentral:rRNA from 1 species
ACAGUAGUAGCCACGGUAAUACGUAGGUGGCAAGCGUUGUCCGGAAUUAUUGGGCGUAAAGCGCGCGCAGGUGGUUCCUUAAGUCUGAUGUGAAAGCCCACGGCUCAACCGUGGAGGGUCAUUGGAAACUGGGGGACUUGAGUGCAGAAGAGGAAAGUGGAAUUCCAAGUGUAGCGGUGAAAUGCGUAGAUAUUUGGAGGAACACCAGUGGCGAAGGCGACUUUCUGGUCUGUAACUGACACUGAGGCGCGAAAGCGUGGGGAGCAAACAGGAUUAGAUACCCCUGUAGUCCCUGUCUCUUAUAC